CGUAUUUCCCCAACUAAAAGCCAAACCAAACGAGGAAGAAACUUGAAAUCCCCCUCCCGGUUUCCUCUCUUCGCACCUCCGCUUGAACGAUCGAGGCGCCGGCAGGCCAAGGAGUCUGGACUGGAUACACUCCUUCUCUUUUGUCCCGUGUGAUAAAAGAUUUAUAGCUUAUAAUAUCACAACAAUUGCCAUUUAGAAGAUUUUGGUGGCCAGAGCACAAAGCAAGUCACUGAACCAUGCUCAUGGUCUGCUGGAAUAUCACACUAAAACUUCAUGCUUGUAUGUGCAAAGACGAUCCCAAAAGUCCAUCAGUUGGUAUCCUGUCAAGAGGCUGGAACCACCUUCAUGGCCGUUAAUUCGUACAAGAUGGCCAAACCCAUUUUCAUGUACUAUGCCAUGCAGCAAAUGUCGUGGAUCAUCAAUCUGGGCAUAGUCCCAAUCUUCAGAUUCAUCAUGGGGUAACGCAGAACCAUGACUGCACGCCGGGCACCUGAUCAUUGAUUAAAUAAUUGUCAUAUCUGAAGACAUCAUUGCAGUUCAGCGUGUAAUUUU
rnacentral:rRNA from 1 species